rnacentral:rRNA from 1 species
GACGUAGGGGGCGAGCGUUGUCCGGAGUUACUGGGCGUAAAGGGCGCGCAGGCGGUCGCGUUGGCCACCUCGUGAAAGCCCCCGGCUCAACCGGGCGGUGGCGGGUGGGACCGCGCGACUGGAGGAUGGUAGGGGCCAGCGGAAUUCCCGGUGUAGUGGUGAAAUGCGUAGAUACCGGGAGGAACACCCGCGGCGAAGGCGGCUGGCUGGGCCAUUCCUGACGCUGAGGCGCGAAGGCCAGGGGAGCGAACGGG